rnacentral:rRNA from 1 species
GACGAACCGUGCGAACGUUAUUCGGAAUCACUGGGCUUAAAGGGCGCGUAGGCGGGCUCGUAAGUCAGGGGUGAAAUCCCACGGCCCAACCGUGGAAGUGCCUUUGAUACUGCGGGCCUCGAGGGGGAUAGGGGCGUGCGGAACUCGGGGUGGAGCGGUGAAAUGCGUAGAGAUCCGGCGGAACACCGGUGGUGAAGGCGGUCUCCUGGGCCGAGGGCCGACGCUGAGGCGCGAGAGCGUGGGGAGCGAACCGG